rnacentral:lncRNA from 1 species
CGCGCACAGACAGCAUGACAACCGCAGCCCGUCAGUAAAUUAAUUCACUGACAGAAAAACAGCAGCACCUGAUGCUACUCGGACAUACGAAACGAUGAUGUUUUUUAUUUUUAACACAAUUUACCUGAUCAAGCUGAGUUUUCAAGCCUUCUAAUUGUGGAAGAGACAAUUCAGUGAGAUUCACCGCCAUGUUGACAAUAAAAGAGGAUUCACCAUUAAACCUGGCCGUUCAGCACAUAAGAAUCACAUCAGAUCAGGUACGUCAGAUAUUUGUACGUCUCUGAAAACGCUGUCCCUGACAUUUUGAAGACUUAUGGGAACACCGAUUUCAGUGUUUACAGUCCUUGUUGCCUGUCGGUUUAUCCAUCAGUCUGCAGUGACAGAUGACCAAUUCAUGUUUUUCCUCCAUGUGUACUCCUUUACUAGCACAUCCC